GAUGAACGCUGGCGGCGUGCUUAACACAUGCAAGUCGAGCGGAAAGGCUCCUGCUUGCAGGGGUACUCGAGUGGCGAACGGGUGAGUAACACGUGGGUGAUCUGCCCUGCACUUCGGGAUAAGCCUGGGAAACUGGGGCUAAUACCGGAUAGGACGAUGGUUUGGAUGCCAUUGUGGAAAGUUUUUCGGUUUGGGAUGAGCUCGCGGCCUAUCAGCUUGUUGGUGGGGUAAUGGCCUACCAAGGCGUCGACGGGUAGCCGGCCUGAGAGGGUGUACGGCCACAUUGGGACUGAGAGACGGCCCAGACUCCUACGGGAGGCAGCAGUGGGGAAUAUUGCACAAUGGGCGCAAGCCUGAUGCAGCGACGCCGGGUGGGGGAAGACGGCCUUCGGGUUGUAAACUCCUUUCGCUAGGGACGAAGCGCAAGUGACGGUACCUGGAGAAGAAGCACCGGCUAACUACGUG
rnacentral:rRNA from 1 species